UCCAGUAUCCACUCAAAAAAAAUGAGGGGAAGAAUGAGUCCUUUUAUAUUAUAUAAUCCAAGUGUAGUCUCCCAUUCAGAAUUCAAUAUUGCCACAUAGAGUUGGUGAAACAGACAUGCCAUGACUAGAGGUCUGAGAGUUAGGAUCAAUCAAGCUCUACUACGAUUUUAGGACUGAGAGUUACACGCACAUCCAGGCCAAAAGCUCAAGAUUAUUGAUCAGAUUCAUGAAGAUCUAUCCAUCAUUAUUGGUAAGCUAACAUCUUGUGAUCCUCUCUUGAUGCAUCCAUCUUUAUCAACACAAAGAAGGCGAUGCAAAAUGAGCGGUGGGAGCCUUGUUUCUUUGCUCAUCUCAGCAGAGAAUGAGAAUGCUUGAGUAAGUUGUUGAAAGAUUUGGUCUCUUGGGCCUUACACACCAAAUUCUUUACUCCUACUGCCAUCUGUUUUCCAUGCAAUUCAUGUCAUUAGUAGCUUGUAUUUGACAUUAUAGAUUGGCAAUAUUGAACAUUACAAGCAAUGAACAACUUAAACCUUUCCCAGACUUGUAUAUAUAGGGAACUGCUCUUUGCUAUCCAAGAGUAGUUGGAGGUGAUUUUCGGCUA